UGAGACAGUGUCUCACUGUAGCAGCCCAGGCUGGCCUCGAGGUCCUGACGAUCCUCCUGCCUCAGCCUCCCCAGUGCUCAGAUGACAGGCUUGCGCUGCCACACCCAGCUAAGAUGCUUCUUUGCCACCGCAGGGACUUCCCGUUGUAGGAUGUUUGGUGGUGUGCCUGACCUCUAGCUCUAGAUGUUGGGACGUCUCCCCAGUUGAGACCAUUGGGAAUGUCCCCGGACAUUGCCAAGUGCUCUCUGGGGAACACAGGUGCCCUGCCCGUGGAGCCGGCCUGCUCCUGUACACUGCGUGCCUGUUUCCUCAUCUGUGCAGCUCAGCUCAGGAGUAACAGCGCUCCGCUCACGGGCCCCGGUGAGGGCUGCACCAGCUAGGGUCUGCAGAGCACCAAGAAAGGGGCCAGGCAGCUAGGAAGUGUCAUAGGGACUGUCACCAUUGUGGUCGCUGCCAUUGGUCAUCCACAGACACUGGCAGGUGCUGGGGACCGGAGGUGACGGCUUCUGCUUGGAAGGGACCCAGCCCUGCUGCCCAGGGAGAUCACGGGGUCGAGGCCAGCGGGGGCAGGAGAAGGCGGCGCGGGCCGAGGGACAGUGUGGAUGCGGACUGUGAAGCUUCCCGCAGGCUCCUGGGCCCUCCCAGCCUGAGGGGGAGGCUGGCGCUGGCGACCACCGGCUGGUAGCAAAGACCUAAUGGAGUUCUCUGGAGGCCUGGAGAUCGUGCUCUGUGACUGACAGGGUCACACCCACGUGCCCAGCGCCUGGCCACACCCUAACCUCCGGCCACAUUCCCCCUGAGAGGCAGGAAUCCCCAUAAUCCUCUCUGGGCCGCUGAGGGAGUGGGAGGUCUCUGUCUUCACGGAGCUACUUCCUGCUGAAAGGGACUGUAGCCCCCACUCCCUGGGGACUGUGCUGUCCAGCCACCUCGGAGUGUUGUGCCUCACCAGCCAGGUGGACAAAAAUCUGCCUCAGACCACGAGGAAGGAGUUAGUGUCCGUAUAGGAAAGGCGGUUGAGCUGCCUGUUUGAUGGGAGAGAGCUUGGUGAAUUUGUCAGGAAAGUAACUCUCCUAUUGGUUUGGGGAUGUAGAGCCCAAAUAUGAGAAGGAACAGGGCGGACUCGCACUCUUCCUGUGAAUGAUGGAGUAUGGCAGAGGGGGGGAUAUUGGAUAAAUUACCAAGGGCUUGAGAGCUGUAGCCCUGGCACAAUUACCCACAUUAUGGAUUUGAUUAAAAACAGGAGUCUUGGGCCAGGGAUGUAGCUCAGUGGUUUCGCCGCCUGCUGUGCAAGUGCAAGGACUGAGUUCCGAUCCCGGUACCAAAAAAAAGAAAAAAACAGGGAGUCUUGACACAGGUGCCGUUGAAAGUGCGGUGAAUUAGAGGCCAUUGGUGACAGCGUAUCUUCACCCAGGGCAGAGCCAGAGUCUUGCUCUUUGUUUUGUUUUUUGGUGGUGGUAGUGUUUUUGGAGACAGGCCAUAGCCCAGGCUGGCCUCGAACUCAUGGCGAUGUCCCAGCCUCAGCCUCCCCAGUGCUGGGAUCAUAGGCAUGCGCUGCUACACCUGGCCGGAGUCUUGCUUUGUCAAGAGGAGCCUCAGGUCUUCCGGAGGUCCCCAAGAGUAGAGUCAGUCCCGGGGAAUUCAAGUGACCACUUGUCAUGUAGGGUUUUUAUAGCUUUUCACUGUGCUCCUUUCGGAAAGACAGUGGUUCCACAGGAACUGGGAGUGAGGCUGGGGUCUUGAGGGGCUGUGAAGCUGCCCUUCUUGCCUUUCUGUCAACCUUUUGAUUUCCCAAGGAGAUUUCAGACACAUCUCCUUGGGGCUCCUUGGCGUGAAUGACAGCUUCCUGCUUGGGACGAUAGACUGACUGUCUCUAGGAGUUGGAAACUUUUCUGAGCUUUUGUCUUUUCCUAGUGUCAGCGCCUGAGGAAGGACUUCGAGCUGUGUUUUGAGCAGAGGUCCCCGGGGAAGGGCUUUGGCCUCAGUGAUGAGCUGACAGCCGCAUAACCUGUCUCUCCGUGUCUCUGAGGCCCCUUCCCUCAGUGACCACACCUCUGGGGGUGGGCAUCACUGCUGUCCUCCUAGCCCUGUGGGCAAAGCAGGAGUGAAGAAGCUCUGACUGGGGCUCCUCUUGCCCCUAAUGAUGGCCACAGAUCUAGAGCAGCGUUGUUUAGAGAAGGAAAUGAAAACAGAAUGAUGGAAUUUGCUUACCCACGAUGCCCACGGUUGCCUGCAGUUUUUCACAGGAGAUGGAGACAUGAGGGACAGGGCCAUUGGAGGCUGCCUCGGGCCCUGCAGUCCCCUCUCCUCAGCAGGAGGAAAGGGUUUGUGCUAGGAGCGGGGGGUCCUACAGUGCCGUGGGCCACUUGACACUCAGACUGGGCCUGGGCGGUGGCCCUGGGUUUCCUGAGCACGACUGGGGUGUGCUUGAAGCACUGCCAAUUACAGCAGCCAUCAUUUUGCUCUGUCCUUUUCUGUCAGGCUGUCCCCUUUCAUCCUCAUCUAGAUCCCCGUUGUGGAGCACAGGAAAGCCCGCUUCCCGCACUUCAGUCACAGGGGCCUGGGGGCCUCCGCCAAAGCUACCAGGAGCUUUUGAAAAUCAGCCUGACUGUUCUUUGCAUUGUGGUUGUCUGCCACUGAGAAAGGAACCUGGACCCCAGCAGUGUCCUCGACUCCUGGACUCCCUUAGGGGCAGGGGGAGCUGUGAGCUAGGGGGAGUAAGAAGCUCCACUUUGAGCGUGUCCUGUGGGGCCUAAAGCUGUCUGGGGAGCCCUGGGUCACUUGAAGAGAAGGGGCUGAUUUACUGGCCUGAGGAUUAUAAGGCGGCAGGCGAGGACACCACCAGGGUGGUUGCUUUCACUAGACAGGUGGGAGAGACCAACAUCUCCUGAGAGACAGGCAGGCGUCUGAGGGUAGGGACAUUGACAUUACCAAUUUCCCUUUCCUUAGAGGCCUCUUUCAGUACCAUAGUCCUUGGCCCUUGGGCCUUCCCAGAGGCAGAGCCAUAAAACCCUGAACCUAAGUUUCACACCACUUUCCUUGCCCUUUGCAAAAAGAUCGAACUGAAGAAUAAUAUCGUAGUUUAGACCACCAUUCUGUACCCACCUUCCACCAUUUCCUGGUUAAUACUGGACCCAGCUAGUAUCUCAGUAGAAGAGAAGUUGUUCUUUUUUCAGAUUGUCAGGGUCAAAUUGUUCCCAGUUUGUUUGUUUUUUUGGUACCGGGGAUCAAAUUCGGAACCUUGCGCUUUUGAGGCAGGAGGCAGAACCACUGAGCUAAAUCCCCAACCCCAUGGUUCCCAGUUUUUAAGGAUGCAGCCUAACGGUGAGGUUGCUGGGAUCUGCAGUGAUUCCCAAGGUGCAUCAUGGGCCCAUGGAGAGAGAAAGAAGACUAGGUCUGGGGUACUUAAGUAGGGCGCCUCCUGCAGAAGGAAGAGACUGCAGGACUACUAGUGAGACGCCUCUGCGGAAGCAGCCCUGGUACCUUCUUUUUUAUACAUUUAUUUUUCUUAGAACUCCUCAUACCCUGUGGCCUACUGUCCUCCUGGUUGCCAUUUGGUGUUCCUUGUCCUUUUGGAAUUCUGCAACAACUUCUGAGAGAGAAGGGUGGAGCUUUCAACUCCUUGAGAGGCAGUACCCCUUACAUUUAUCUCAAUAAUAAAAACGUUGGUACUUUGUUUAAGGCAAGAGAGACGGAUACUUCUUUUUUACCAUUUAAGAGGAAAAAAAACUUUAAAAGUUCUGUGCACAAGGAUAUCUCCACUUUUGCCUUCUCUCAGCCCCUAGAGUUUACCUUUGUGCCUGUUCCCUUUGUUUGCUCAGGCCCUCAGGCAUGUUUCUAAAUUCACGCAGAUUACUAUAGAAGAAACCAGGAGGCAAUCUAAAUUCAGAAGAGAAGCAGGGAGGAAGCUUAUAUGUUCCCUAAAAGCAGAGGCUACAGCUCUUAUCUAUAAGGGUGAGAUUUCCUGGUGUCCAUGAAGUCAGUUGAAAAAGAAAAUGGCAAACAAACAUGGCGGAACCACAUGACAGACUCAUGUGAUGAACCAAAAUGGCCACCAAACAUGUCGGAACCAUGCAAGGACCUCACAGGAGGAACCCAAAUGGCUGCCAAACACAGCAGAAAGGUAGACUGAGAUGAAUUGAGGUCCUAAAAAGAGCGACUCAUUAAAGAUUCCCAGAAAUAAAAGGCCAUCUAGGGGAAAAGCACAGGUGAGACUUUGAACACAAGCAGGCUUCCAAAAGAAUGAGAAAGCUGAACAAAGUAUACAGGGAAAACAAACAUGUGGGGAGAAAAGGCACAUUAAACUCUAGGCAUACAUGGAACCUGAAUUGUCCGUUGGGCAACUGGGUUAAUAACAGGCUCUCUAGAAGCCACCAACCCGCACAACUGCAAACAUUGUAUGUGUCCCAUGGGUCACUGAUAGGGCAUGCAUCCCUGGAGGACAGCCCCACACACUCUGUGGGCCUCAAACUCAUGGCACUUCUCCUGCCCCAGACUUACAAGUGCUGGGAUCACAGGCAUGUGCCAGCAGGCCGAGCUUUCUCCUUAUUCUUGUCCUCAAAGAGACAGUCUAAAAUUUCUCCGUUAAGUAUACUGUUUAUGAAAUUAAGGAGGUUCUUACUUAUUGUUGGUGUUUAAAGUUGUUUAAAAUCAUAUUCAGGAGCUGAAUAUCAUUAAAUGCUUUUUGGCAUCUAUUGAGAUCACAGAAUUUUGUUCCUUCAUUUAAUGUAUGGAUGAGUUUUUCAGAGUUUGAACCAUCACUGUUUCCGAAGAUAAACCUGGUUUAAUCAUGAUGUAAUUAUUUUUUACUAUGCUUUAAAAUUUAGCCAUCUUGCCAGGUGUGGUAGCAGAUGCCUGUAACCCCCCGCACCUAGGGAGGCCGAGGCAGGCGGAUCACCUGAGGCCAGCCUUGGUUACAUAGUGAGACCCUGUCUCUCUCUGACACACACACACAUACACACAUGCAAUUCCACUUUGCAGCUUUCCCUCCUUUUCUGCAUUUUCAAAGCAACUUGUUUGUACUUCUGUUUUAAAGAUGAAAUAGUGCACCGUCAUUGCUCUUUGUUAUUUUAUCAUUGUUAUUCUUACUCAUGGUUUCCUGCCGUUAAAGAUUAAAGAGAGGCAGCCAAUUAAACAUUGAACAACAACAAUAACAACUUGUAAAUACAGAUGACACAUUCCCUGGAUUAGAGGAGGAAAAUAUAAAACUGUAAAGUAACUAGGCCUGAGUGCUUUUGGGGUGUGAGCUUGAAUGAUUAUUUCAAUUAAUUUAAUGAUUCUUAGUCUAUGUUUGCUUUUCCUUAUGUCAGGUUUUUUUUUUCCUUUUUUGAGACAGGAUCUCACUGUGUAGCCCAGGCUGGCCUUGAAGUCACAAUGAUCCUCCUGCCUCAGCCUCCUGAGUGCUGGGAUUACAUGCGUGUGCCACCAUGCCUGGCCCCUUAUGUCAAUUCUGUCGGACUGGUUCUUCAGCGAUGACAAGGACAAAGGGCGAGAGAGUAAGUGAUGUGCGAGGGAUCCGAGUCCUGGGAUGGGGUGGCAACAGGACUGGGGGACCCUUUCUGCUCAGAGCACCCAGCCCUGGAGCUGCCCAGGCUGACGGGGCUGCCUGGCUCUGUCCCCGUCCCCUGGUCUCUGCUGAGGAGACCUCUGGGAUCCUCCCUCAUUGGGGAAGGCG
ensembl:lncRNA